CCUACGGGGGGCAGCAGUGAGGAAUAUUGGUCAAUGGGCGGGAGCCUGAACCAGCCAAGUCGCGUGAAGGAAGACGGCACUAAGUAUUGUAAACCUCUUUUGUCGGGGAACAAAAGCGGAGACGCGUCUCCGGCUGAGUGUAUCCGAAGAAAAAGCAUCGGCUAACUCCGUGCCAGCAGGCGCGGUAAUACGGAGGAUGCGAGCGUUAUCCGGAUUUAUUGGGUUUAAAGGGUGCGCAGGCGGUACGUCAAGUCAGCGGUAAAAUUGCGGGGCUCAACCCCGUCGGGCCGUUGAAACUGG
rnacentral:rRNA from 1 species